AAUCCAUAGGUUAAUGAGGCGAACCGGGGGAACUGAAACAUCUAAGUACCCCGAGGAAAAGAAAUCAACCGAGAUUCCCCCAGUAGCGGCGAGCGAACGGGGAGGAGCCCAGAGCCUGAAUCAGCAUGUGUGUUAGUGGAAGCGUCUGGAAAGGCGCGCGAUACAGGGUGACAGCCCCGUACACAAAAGCGCAUGUGCUGUGAGCUCGAUGAGUAGGGCGGGACACGUGGUAUCCUGUCUGAAUAUGGGGGGACCAUCCUCCAAGGCUAAAUACUCCUGACUGACCGAUAGUGAACCAGUACCGUGAGGGAAAGGCGAAAAGAACCCCGGCGAGGGGAGUGAAAAAGAACCUGAAACCGUGUACGUACAAGCAGUGGGAGCACAGGUUUACCUGUGUGACUGCGUACCUUUUGUAUAAUGGGUCAGCGACUUAUAUUCUGUAGCAAGGUUAACCGUAUAGGGGAGCCGGAGGGAAACCGAGUCUUAACCGGGCGUUAAGUUGCAGGGUAUAGACCCGAAACCCGGUGAUCUAGCCAUGGGCAGGUUGAAGGUUGGGUAACACUAACUGGAGGACCGAACCGACUAAUGUUGAAAAAUUAGCGGAUGACCUGUGGCUGGGGGUGAAAGGCCAAUCAAACCGGGAGAUAGCUGGUUCUCCCCGAAAGCUAUUUAGGUAGCGCCUCGUGAAUUCAUCUCCGGGGGUAGAGCACUGUUUCGGCUAGGGGGCCAUCCCGGCUUACCAACCCGAUGCAAACUGCGAAUACCGGAGAAUGUUAUCACGGGAGACACACGGCGGGUGCUAACGUCCGUCGUGAAGAGGGAAACAACCCAGACCGCCAGCUAAGGUCCCAAAGUCAUGGUUAAGUGGGAAACGAUGUGGGAAGGCCCAGACAGCCAGGAUGUUGGCUUAGAAGCAGCCAUCAUUUAAAGAAAGCGUAAUAGCUCACUGGUCGAGUCGGCCUGCGCGGAAGAUGUAACGGGGCUAAACCAU
rnacentral:rRNA from 7 species